CGGCCACAUCACGUUGAAACACCCGUACGAUUACUGAAGUUAAGCAACAGCGAGCCUGGUCAGUAUUUAGAUGGGUGACCGCUUGUGAAUAUUUGGUGCUGUAAG